AUUGAACGCUGGCGGCAUGCUUUACACAUGCAAGUCGAACGGCAACGAGGAGAAGCUUGCUUCUCUGUCGGCGAGUGGCGAACGGGUGAGUAUAGCAUCGGAACGUGCCAAGUAGUGGGGGAUAACCAAACGAAGGUUUGGCUAAUACCGCGUAAGCUCCAAGGAGGAAAGUAGGGGACCUAAAUAAGGCCUUACGCUAUUUGAUCGGCCGAUGUCGGAUUAGCUAGUUGGUGGGGUAAUGGCUCACCAAGGCAAUGAUCCGUAGCGGGUCUGAGAGGACGAUCCGCCACACUGGGACUGAGACACGGCCCAGACUCCUACGGGAGGCAGCAGUGGGGAAUUUUGGACAAUGGGGGAAACCCUGAUCCAGCCAUGCCGCGUGUAUGAAGAAGGCCUUAGGGUUGUAAAGUACUUUUGUUAGGGAAGAAAAGCUAGUUUUUAAUAAAAAUUAGUGAUGACGGUACCUAAAGAAUAAGCACCGGCUAACUACGUG
rnacentral:rRNA from 1 species